rnacentral:rRNA from 1 species
AGGACGAACGCUGGCGGCGUGCUUAACACAUGCAAGUCGAACGGUGAAGGAGAGCUUGCUCUCUGGAUCAGUGGCGAACGGGUGAGUAACACGUGGGUAACCUGCCCUUGACUCUGGGAUAAGCGUUGGAAACGACGUCUAAUACCGGAUACGAGCUUUCGCGCAUGGCUAGGAGCUGGGAAAGAAUUUCGGCAAGGAUGGACUCGCGCCUAUCAGCUAGUGGUGAGGUAAUGGCUCACCAAGGCGACGACGGGUAGCCGGCCUGAGAGGGUGACCGGCCACACUGGGACUGAGACACGGCCCAGACUCCUACGGGAGGCAG